rnacentral:rRNA from 1 species
GUGGGGAAUCUUCCGCAAUGGACGAAAGUCUGACGGAGCAACGCCGCGUGAGUGAUGAAGGUCUUCGGAUUGUAAAGCUCUGUUAAUCGGGACGAAAGAGCCUAGUGUGAAUAAUGCUAGGAAGUGACGGUACCGGAAUAGAAAGCCACGGCUAACUACGUGCCAGCAGCCGCGGUAAUACGUAGGUGGCAAGCGUUGUCCGGAAUUAUUGGGCGUAAAGCGCGCGCAGGCGGAUCUGCCAGUCUGUCUUAAAAGUUCGGGGCUUAACCCCGUGAUGGGAUGGAAACUACAGAUCUAGAGUAUCGGAGAGGAAAGUGGAAUUCCUAGUGUAGCGGUGAAAUGCGUAGAUAUUAGGAAGAACACCAGUGGCGAAGGCGACUUUCUGGACGGUGUCUGACACUGAGGCGCGAAAGCCAGGGGAGCGAACGGGAUUAGAAACCCCGGUAGUCC